rnacentral:tRNA from 1 species
GUUGUCGUGGCCGAAUGGUUAAGACGAUGGACUAGAAAUCUUUUUGGGAUCUUCCCGCGCAGGUUCGAAUCCUGCCGACAUCG